rnacentral:SRP_RNA from 1 species
GGCCGAGCCCCCUGCGACGCCGGCCGGUGAACCCCGCCAGGCCCGGAAGGGAGCAACGGUAAGCCGUACCCUGCGGGUGAUAGGGGAUCCCUUGGCCCGA